GGGGGGAAGAAAUAACAAGUGAUGUCCCUAGUAACGGCGAGUGAAAAGGACAUAGCCCAACUUGAAAAUCUCCCUUUGGAGAAUUGUAGUCUAGAGAAGCGCCCUCUGCGGCGACCGGAGCCCAAGUCCGCUGGAAAGCGGCGUCAGAGAGGGUGAGAACCCCGUCGGCUCUCGGUUUAGCUGCUCCACGAGGUGCUUUCCACGAGUCGGGUUGUUUGGGAAUGCAGCCCAAAAUGGGACGUAAAUCCGUUCUAAGGCUAAAUACUGGCGAGAGACCGAUAGCGAACAAGUAGUGUGAACGAAAGAUGAAAAGAACUUUGAAAAGAGAGUUAAAAAGUGCUUGAAAUUGUUGAGAGGGAAGCGAUUGGAGGGUGUGGGUGCGCCCAGGCUUAUGCGUCCCUAACGGGCCGCUGCAUGUGCUGGGUGCUGGUCAGCAUGGGUUAGUCGGGCGGGAUAAAAGCGGGGGUUGAUACCCCGUCUAUGCCGCCUGGCUGACCAAGGCGUAAAGGUCGCUCAGUCCUUCGGGAACUGCGUCCUCAAGAUGCUGGCAAAAGCCCUUCAAUCGACCCGUCUUGAAACACGGGACCCCAGGGAAAA
rnacentral:rRNA from 1 species